rnacentral:tRNA from 1 species
GGAUUGUGGCUUAGUGGUAGAGAGUUUGCCUAGCAUGUGUGAGGCACUGGGUUCAAUUCUCAGCACCA